UGGGGAAUUUUGGACAAUGGGCGCAAGCCUGAUCCAGCCAUGCCGCGUAAGUGAAGAAGGCCUCGGGUUGUAAAGCUCUUUCGGCCGGGAAGAAAUCGCACAGGCUAAUACCUUGUGUGGAUGACGGUACCGGAAUAAGAAGCACCGGCUAAUUACGUGCCAGCAGUCGCGGUAAUACGUAGGGUGCGAGCGUUAAUCGGAAUUACUGGGCGUAAAGCGUGCGCAGGCGGUUGUGUAAGACAGGCGUGAAAUCCCCGGGCUCAACCUGGGAACUGCGCUUGUGACUGCACGGCCAGAGUACGGCAGAGGGGGGUGGAAUUCCACGUGUAGCAGUGAAAUGCGUAGAGAUGUGGAGGAACACCGAUGGCGAAGGCAGCCCCCUGGGCCGAUACUGACGCUCAUGCACGAAAGCGUGGGUAGCAAACAG
rnacentral:rRNA from 1 species